rnacentral:rRNA from 1 species
GAUGAACGCUGGCGGCGUGCUUAACACAUGCAAGUCGAACGGAGUGCCUUUGAAAGAGGAUUCGUCCAAUUGAUAAGGUUACUUAGUGGCGGACGGGUGAGUAACGCGUGAGGAACCUGCCUUGGAGUGGGGAAUAACACAGUGAAAAUUGUGCUAAUACCGCAUAAUGCAGUUGGGCCGCAUGGCUCUGACUGCCAAAGAUUUAUCGCUCUGAGAUGGCCUCACGUCUGAUUAGCUAGUUGGUGAGAUAACAGCCCACCAAGGCGACGAUCAGUAGCCGACCUGAGAGGGUGAUCGGCCACAUUGGGACUGAGACACGGCCCAA